rnacentral:rRNA from 1 species
CAGCCGCCGCGGUAAUACGUAGGUGGCAAGCGUUGUCCGGAAUUAUUGGGCGUAAAGGGCUCGCAGGCGGUUUCUUAAGUCUGAUGUGAAAGCCCCCGGCUCAACCGGGGAGGGUCAUUGGAAACUGGGAAACUUGAGUGCAGAAGAGGAGAGUGGAAUUCCACGUGUAGCGGUGAAAUGUGUAGAGAUGUGGAGGAACACCAGUGGCGAAGGCGACUCUCUGGCCUGUAACUGACGCUGAGGAGCGAAAGCGUGGGGAGCGAACAGGAUUAGAGACCCCUGUAGUCCCUGUCUCUUAUAC